GUGGGGAAUCUUGCGCAAUGGGCGAAAGCCUGAUCCAGCCAUGCCGCGUGUGUGAAGAAGGUCUUCGGAUUGUAAAGCACUUUAAGUUGGGAGGAAGGGCAGUAAGUUAAUACCUUGCUGUUUUGACGUUACCGACAGAAUAAGCACCGGCUAACUUCGUGCCAGCAGCCGCGGUAAUACGAAGGGUGCAAGCGUUAAUCGGAAUUACUGGGCGGAAAGCGCGCGUAGGUGGUUUUGUAAGUUGGAGGUGAAAUCCCCGGGCUCAACCUGGGAACUGCCUCCAAAACUGCAUGACUAGAGUACGGUAGAGGGUAGUGGAAUUUCCUGUGUAGCGGUGAAAUGCGUAGAUAUAGGAAGGAACACCAGUGGCGAAGGCGACCACCUGGACUGAUACUGACACUGAGGUGCGAAAGCGUGGGGAGCAAACAGGAUUAGAUACCCUUGUAGUCC
rnacentral:rRNA from 1 species